rnacentral:rRNA from 1 species
GGACCCGCACAAGUAGUGGAGCAUGUGGUUUAAUUCGAAGAUACGCGCAGAACCUUACCAACACUUGACAUGUUCGUCGCGACUUUAAGAGAUUAAAGUUUUCGGUUCGGCCGGACGAAACACAGGUGCUGCAUGGCUGUCGUCAGCUCGUGUCGUGAGAUGUUGGGUUAAGUCCCGCAACGAGCGCAACCCUCACUUUUAGUUGCCAUCAUUUAGUUGGGCACUCUGAAAGAACUGCCAGUGAUAAGCUGGAGGAAGGUGGGGAUGACGUCAAGUCCUCAUGGCCCUUACGUGUUGGGCUACACACGUGCUACAAUGGUAUCUACAACAGGAAGCAAAACAGCGAUGUUAAGCAAAUCCUUAAAAGAUACCUCAGUUCGGAUUGCACUCUGCAACUCGAGUGCAUGAAGCUGGAAUU